GGGAGGUGUUUGUCAUGGCUCAGGAGGUCAACUUUGAAGCGGGGCAUUCCCUACAGGUAGGGAUCUGCCCGGAACGCAUCCCAUCCCAAACUGCAAAACCACAAGCAUCAACAGCAGGAGCCGAGCAAAGUGCUCGGCGGAGGAAGAGGAAGGGCGAGGGAGAGAAAUGGUCGAGUACAGAAGCCUGCGUGUGGGUAAGAAAAUACCCUAACCACUCGCCCACCGGACGCAGGGCGGCUGGGACUGCGAAUCCAGCAGCAGCCACAGCGUAGCAGCGGGCGGCAGCCGCCGAGGCAGCAAUGUCAGGAGGGCACAGCUGGAGGAGGCGGCCGCCAAAGCCACUACCCCACCCCCAGGAAGAUUUGGAAAAGAGGCACUGGCUACUGGAGGAAGGGAGAAAUCACCGAGAGAGCGAAAGAUGUAACAGAUGCAGUGACUCAUGCCUAUAAUCCCAGUACUUUGGAAGGUCAAGGCACAAGGAUCCAUUGAGGCCAGGAGUCCAAGACCAGCCUGCACAAUGUAGCAAGACUCCUUCUCUACAAAAAAAUAAAUAAAAAUUAGCCAGGCAUGGUGGUGCACUCCUGUAGUCCCAGCUACUCAAGAGGCUGAUGUAGAGAAUCGCAUUAUCCCAGAGGUCAAGGCUGCAGUGAGCCGUGAUCAUGCCUCUGCACUCCAGCCUGGACGAUAGAGCAAGACUUUAUCUCAAAAAACAAAAAUUUAAAAAGAUAUCAGGUAGCUCAUAGAAUUGUUGAGAGGGCUGUAAAACCAGGCUUGAACUUAAACAGCAACGAUAAACCACCCACAGAACGGACAUGAUGAAGAAGUUGGCAAAUGUUACCAACUGUCCUGGUUUUUUUGGUGACUGUAGUUUCCAAGGAUUCAGAUCCUUCCAUGCCAAAAUCUGAAAAAUGCUGGGCAAAGUAUGACUGACAAUGUGGUAAUCUUACAGCUAGCACUAGAGACAUCAAGCACUAGACAACACAAUUUGCCCUUUGGCCACUUAUACAAUGGGAACUCACGCUUGCAGUAACCUCUAUUGCCACUAGGAGAGAGAAACACAGAAGGAGGAAGGGAGAAGGGAGAGAGAGGAAAAAAACUGUUGCUUGUCUCCUUAGCUGUGAGUCAAAGGUCUAACACAGAUGUCUGGCUGAAAAGCCUAGGUCACAUGCCUGCACCCCAGAGAAAGUAUGUGACAUCUUCUGCUUCCAUUAUGGGAAACAGCCUUUGCUUGUCACGAAGAUUUACAUGGUGAGACAUAUCCUAAAUAUAGGGAAGCUGUUGAAGUGGCCCAAAUAAUGACCAAUUUCUACUAAUUUGUACUAAUAUCCAAAUUACUUUUAAUUAUCUAAUAUUACUUAGAUACAGUGAGGCAACCAUUCGUUGGAUAUAUAAUGGUUUCUUUGAUUUCAAAAAUCUUUUUUUAUGUAAUAUAUGUCUGAAGACCAUCAAAAUAAAUUCUUAAAGUCAGAUUAAUAGGAUGUUACUUAUAAUAUUAUUGUAAUUAUUUGACCACAUAAUAGUUUAUGCCCAUUAUAUACUAUGUAAUUGUAUGAUGGAAAUAAUGCUGUACUUUGUUUGUAAAAGUUUAAUUAUCCUGACCUUUGUUCAUCAUAAAGAAUUGCUCCAUUUCUAUUAUUUAUCGAGGAAAAAAGUUUCUCUCUUUUUGUUUUUAAUAUGUCAUUAGGAGAAGAGUAGUUACACGUAGGCUAGAGUGUUUGCCAAGAAGAAAUUGAUUUUAAUGGGAACCUUUUAUCUAAGACAAACUUUAAGAAGAGCAGUAAUGGACAAUGUGUUCUGUGCAACUCUUCAGCCUUCAGUCUCACAUUCAUUGUGGUCAAGUAUUUUCAGCAAAGAAUAACAAGUCAGAGUUUGUGUAUAUUUUUCAUAGCUGUUCAUUCUCUUACAGAGUAACCUUGAACAAACCUCUUAAGAUUUGUGUUUUAUCUUCAUAUACUGAAAUACAAAAUGGGAAUGCCUAUAUUUAAUCAAAGAUAUAAUUUUUACUGAUAGAUAGUAAAGAACAAAACACUGGAACAAGAAUUCCUGUCCUGCCUUUCACAAUGUGGUUUUGAGGCCUUGGCCAUGUCACUUAAAUUCUCAUAUCUGUUUUCUCAAUCUAUAAAUGAUCAUAAUACCUGCACUAUCUGUCUCAAAUUGCAUAUGUGAAAGCAUCUUAAAGGUACAAAACAAUAAAUACAAAGCAUUAUUAUUAAAUUAUUACACCUUCCAGCAUUUAAUGCUAAAAAUGCCAAAUGCGUCCUUUGGUUAUAUGUAGGAAAUAUGUCUCAGAAAAAUCAAUUUAAAAUUAUAGAAGCUAACAGGUAAGUCAUUUUAAGUGUGUGGUUAUCUUCUGCAUGGCAGAUUUUUAAAUGGUAAUUAUUAAUGAAGUUUUCCUAUACUUACUGUUUCCAAGACUCCAUUCUUUCCAAAGUUUUCUGAGUUAUGCUUAUCAUCCCUUAAGUCUUAGGGAUGCUCUUCUGAGCUUUUGG
rnacentral:lncRNA from 1 species